AGAGAUAAAUAAACAAGGGAAGUAGCUUUAUGUCCUGGUGAUCCCUCCCUCUUCUAUCUAUUUUUCUCAGACAUUUUCACUUGUGCUUUGAAAUCAUGUUCAGACAAAGAGAUAAAAUGAUGUAGGCUGUUUGCUUUGAUGAUUUUUUAAGGUGCCAUGAUACUUUUGAUCAUCUUCUUUUAUGUGUGGAUGUUAAUUUUUUUCGUUCUCUCUCUUCUUCUAUUCAUCUGUUUCUUUGAAAGAUAUGGGAUGUUGCAACUGGAAGAUUGAAACUCACAUUGACGGGACAUAUUGAGCAAAUCCGAGGACUUGCUGUGAGUCAACGCCAUACGUAUCUGUUCUCUGCUGGUGAUGACAAACAAGUUAAAUGUUGGGACCUUGAACAGAAUAAGGUAAUUCGAUCUUAUCAUGGACACCUCAGUGGUGUUUAUUGCUUAGCUCUUCAUCCAACAAUUGAUAUUUUGUUGACUGGAGGCCGUGAUUCUGUUUGUCGGGUCUGGGAUAUCCGUACUAAGGCUAUGGUCUGUGCUUUAUCAGGGCAUGAUAACACUGUCUGCUCAGUUUUUUCUCGACCUACGGUAU